rnacentral:rRNA from 1 species
CCUACGGGAGGCUGCAGUGAGGAAUAUUGGUCAAUGGCCGCAGGGCUGAACCAGCCAAGUCGCGUGAGGGAUGACGGUCCUAUGGAUUGUAAACCUCUUUUGUCAGGGAGCAAAGGGCGCCACGUGUGGCGCUUUGCGAGUACCUGAAGAAAAAGCAUCGGCUAACUCCGUGCCAGCAGCCGCGGUAAUACGGAGGAUGCGAGCGUUAUCCGGAUUUAUUGGGUUUAAAGGGUGCGCAGGCGGAAUGUCAAGUCAGCGGUAAAAUUUCGGGGCUCAACCCCGUCGUGCCGUUGAAACUGGUGUUCUUGAGUGAGCGAGAAGUAUGCGGAAUGCGUGGUGUAGCGGUGAAAUGCAUAGAUAUCACGCAGAACUCCGAUUGCGAAGGCAGCAUACCGGCGCUCAACUGACGCUCAUGCACGAAAGCGUGGGUAUCGAACAGGAUUAGAUACCCGGGUAGUC